rnacentral:rRNA from 1 species
CGUGAGCCAGGUCGGUUUCUAUCCUAAGAUAAUAUAUUCAUAUUAGUACGAAAGGACCAUAUGAUUAAAAUAAUUUUUAUUUAUUGGUUAAAAUUAAUUAUUU